UAGAAAGAUUUCCCUGGUGUGGAGUUUAGG
rnacentral:piRNA from 1 species